rnacentral:rRNA from 1 species
CGGAACGGGUGAGUAACGCGUGAGCCAACCUGCCUAUGACAGUGGGAUAGCCUCGGGAAACCGGGAUUAAUACCGCAUAAAAUCGUAGAAACACAUGUUUUAACGGUCAAAGAUUUAUCGGUCAUAGAUGGGCUCGCGUCUGAUUAGCUAGUUGGUGAGAUAACAGCCCACCAAGGCGACGAUCAGUAGCCGGUCUGAGAGGAUGAACGGCCACAUUGGAACUGAGACACGGUCCAA